rnacentral:rRNA from 1 species
AGUGAACGCUGGCGGUAGGCCUAACACAUGCAAGUCGAACGGCAGCACAGGAGAGCUUGCUCUCUGGGUGGCGAGUGGCGGACGGGUGAGGAAUACAUCGGAAUCUACCUUUUCGUGGGGGAUAACGUAGGGAAACUUACGCUAAUACCGCAUACGACCUACGGGUGAAAGUGGGGGACCGCAAGGCCUAACGCGAUUAGAUGAGCCGAUGUCCGAUUAGCUAGGUGGCGGGGUAAUGGCCCACCAAGGCGACGAUCGGUAGCUGGUCUGAGAGGAUGAUCAGCCACACUGGAACUGAGACACGGUCCAGACUCCUACGGGAGGCAGCAGUGGGGAAUAUUGGACAAUGGGCGCAAGCCUGAUCCAGCCAUACCGCGUGGGUGAAGAAGGCCUUCGGGUUGUAAAGCCCUUUUGUUGGGAAAGAAAUCCUGUCGAUUAAUACUCGGUGGGGAUGACGGUACCCAAAGAAUAAGCACCGGCUAACUUCGUGCCAGCAGCCGCGGUAACAC